UCGGCUCGCCGCGGCCCUCCUCUUCCUCCGCGGCCUGGCUCGCCUCCUCGCGACCCGUCCGCUCUUUCCGGUCGCCGCUGGGGGCCCGCACGCGCGCGUCCGGCCGCCGCCCUUCCACUUUAGGGGUAGUCCGGCUCGGGGAGCCGCCCGAGACUGGUCCCGGGGGCCCCGGGGCGCGCGGGGCGGGCGGCGCCUUCGGGAGGAGGCCGGUGGGGCGCGCGAGGAGCCAUCGCGGACUUAAUAAGGGCGGCUGCGCUGCUGCGCGUGCGCCCGGCGGCGCGGGGCGGGGAGGCGUCCCGGAGGAGCGCGCGGGCCGCCGCCCCCGCCCUUGCGGGCUCCGGCCGGGAAGCCCCUGGUUGGGCGGCGGGCGGACGCUGGCCCAGGCGCCCGCUCCGCGCGCGGGGACGCGAGCUGCCCCGGAGGCCCGCUCUUCGGAGCAGGACCCGGGGCCUGCGCGGCGGCCUGAGGGGGGCAGGGCGCGCCCCUGGGCCGUCGGCGUGUUAGAAGCCACUGCAGUAAACGGACGGCAGCAGGGAGCCCCCUUGGCGCACACGAGCAGGUCUCUGUCCUUGCAGCCCAGCCCAGGAGGGACAUACGACUCCAUCGGCACGGCUCCAAGCUUGUCUCAGUGUUGACUGCUUGCCAGGUGUAGAACCCUUGGUUUGUAGUGGGACCCAUCUCUGUCCAGAAGAAGACUGUAUUUCCUCACUUCCCUGUAGCUUGAUGUGGUCAUGUGCCCAACGUCUGUCGAAUAGGAAAUACGCAGAAGCCGUGCAAGGAACUUCCAGGAAAUCCUUAAAGAGAAGGGGCUAUUCUCCCUCUCUCCUUCCUCUGGCACAACAUGAAUGUGAUGGCCGGAGCUUGAAUAGCCAUCUUGAACUAUGAAGUGGAAGCCACGUGCUAAGGAUGACAGAGCAGAAAGUAGCAGCCUGGUUUCCUGGCACCGUGGACAGGCAUAUCAGCCCAGGAGAGACUACCGCCAGAUUUUUACAUGUGAGAGAAAGUAAUCUGCUAUUUUGGUAAGCCACUGUAAUUUUGGAUUCCUUGUUGCUCAUAGCUAAGUCUAACUCAACUCUCGAAUAUGGAAAGGAAUUAUCUUCUUUUGAGAAUAUAUCAUAAUGUGCUCUAAGUUGUUUAAUUUAGGCUGAUGGUGGCAUCUCCAUUUGAUGAAGGAAUUCAAAUCUGAAUGAUGUCCCCAUAGUAAAAAAAAAUUAAUAACAAUACAGCUCACUUUGAUUUCUCUCUCUGAGGGUGUCAGUACCUUCACCGUGAUGUUCACUUCCUUUGAAAGAAUAUCAUGUUCUGACAAGUGGAAAUUGGUUAUCUAAAGCAAAUACCUUGCUACUUUAAAUCUGCUAAAAAACAAACUGUAUUCAUUUUCAAUUCCUGUGUCUAAAGCAAUUGUGGAAAAUUUAUGUUCCAGUGAAUUCAAAAGAUUAAUGUUGAAUUAAUAGUAAGUGAAUUUUGUACUGAGGAUGGUUGCUUCUAGAGUGCUGCUAAUUUAUUUCUUGACCUAGAUGGUGGUUGCUUACAUAUUUGCUUUAUAUUUAUCCAUUAAACUGUACAUAUGUUUAUGUACUUUUCUGUGUUAUAUAUUUCAUAAUAAUAAAGGAUUAAAGACGUGAAUUUUGUGAUUUCUUUUAAAAAUACACCUUUCACUUGUUUUGAAGCAAAUGUUUUGUUUUGUUUAAUAUUUAUUUAUUUAUUUUGGCCGCACCGGGUCUUAGUUGUGGCACACGGGAUCUUUUUAGUUGUGGCAUGAGAACUCUUGGUUGCAGCCUGCAUGUGGGAUCUAGUUCCCUGACCAGGGAUUGAAUCUGGGCCCCCGGCAUUGGGAGCGCGAAGUCUUAGCCACUGGGCCACCAGGGAAGUCCCACAAAUACUUUGUUUUUGACGAAAAAAUGUAAAAUAUAAAAUUCGUAUUAUUGUCGGCAAAUUUCCCAAUAAAAAUGUAUUGCUUUGAUUAACAAUUUUUAUCAAA